AGAGUUUGAUCCUGGCUCAGGAAGAAACCGCUAGUUACCAGGCUUAACCCAUGCAAGUCGAGGGGCAGCCAGUGUAGCAAUCCAUGGGCGGCGACCGGCGCACGGGUGCGUAACGCGUAUCCAACCUUCCCGUUACUCAGGGAUAGCCUUCCGAAAGGGAGAUUAAUACCUGAUGGUGUUGAAAUUCCGCAUGUUAUUUCAACUAAAGAUUUAUCGGUAACGGAUGGGGAUGCGUGACAUUAGAUAGUAGGCGGGGUAACGGCCCACCUAGUCUACGAUGUCUAGGGGUUCUGAGAGGAAGGUCCCCCACACUGGAACUGAGACACGGUCCAGACUCCUACGGGAGGCAGCAGUGAGGAAUAUUGGUCAAUGGUCGGAAGACUGAACCAGCCAAGUAGCGUGAAGGAUGAAGGUUCUAUGGAUUGUAAACUUCUUUUAUACGGGAAUAAAACCUCCCACGUGUGGGAGCUUGUAUGUACCGUAUGAAUAAGCAUCGGCUAACUCCGUGCCAGCAGCCGCGGU
rnacentral:rRNA from 1 species